rnacentral:rRNA from 1 species
GACGAACGCUGGCGGCGUGCCUAAUACAUGCAAGUUGAGCGCUGAAGGUUGGUACUUGUACCGACUGGAUGAGCAGCGAACGGGUGAGUAACGCGUGGGGAAUCUGCCUUUGAGCGGGGGACAACAUUUGGAAACGAAUGCUAAUACCGCAUAAAAACUUUAAACACAAGUUUUAAGUUUGAAAGAUGCAAUUGCAUCACUCAAAGAUGAUCCCGCGUUGUAUUAGCUAGUUGGUGAGGUAAAGGCUCACCAAGGCGAUGAUACAUAGCCGACCUGAGAGGGUGGUCGGCCACAUUGGGACUGAGACACGGCCCAAACUCCUACGGGAAGCAGCAGUAGGGAAUCUUCGGCAAUGGACGAAAGUCUGACCGAGCAACGCCGCGUGAGUGAAGAAGGUUUUCGGAUCGUAAAACUCUGUUGGUAGAGAAGAACGUUGGUGAGAGUGGAAAGCUCAUCAAGUGACGGUAACUACCCAGAAAGGGACGGCUAACUACGUG